CAAAUCAAAAUGUUAAAACAUUAAUCACAUAUUUAAUAUUCUAAAUUAUCAAAAUUAAAUAAUAAAAAUACAUAAUCAUAUAAGCAGGGCAGGUUCGGGAAUGGUUCGGGGUGGUUGUUAGCGUCUCUAUUACCGACCCGUCUUCGUAUUUUGUAAUUGUGGAAAAUCCAAAUUCGAACCCAAACUCAAUUAAAGUGGAUUUUUCCCGUCAAAUUCGGGGUGG
rnacentral:lncRNA from 1 species